UACGUAGGAGGCAAGCGUUGUCCGGAAUUACUGGGCGUAAAGCGCGCGUAGGCGGACCUGCAAGUCGGGGGGUGAAAGCCCGAGGCUCAACCUCGGAACUGCCUUCGAUACUGCGGGUCUCGAGUCCGGGAGAGGUGAGUGGAAUUCCUAGUGUAGAGGUGAAAUUCGUAGAUAUUAGGAAGAACACCAGUGGCGAAGGCGGCUCACUGGCCCGGUACUGACGCUGAGGCGCGAAAGCGUGGGGAGCAAACAGGG
rnacentral:rRNA from 1 species